UGGGGAAUUUUGGACAAUGGGGGAAACCCUGAUCCAGCCAUCCCGCGUGUGCGAUGAAGGCCUUCGGGUUGUAAAUCACUUUUGGCAGGAAAGAAACGUCAUGGGUUAAUACCCCGUGAAACUGACGGUACCUGCAGAAUAAGCACCGGCUAACUACGUGCCAGCAGCCGCGGUAAUACGUAGGGUGCAAGCGUUAAUCGGAAUUACUGGGCGUAAAGCGUGCGCAGGCGGUUCGGAAAGAAAGAUGUGAAAUCCCAGAGCUCAACUUUGGAACUGCAUUUUUAACUACCGGGCUAGAGUGUGUCAGAGGGAGGUGGAAUUCCGCGUGUAGCAGUGAAAUGCGUAGAUAUGCGGAGGAACACCGAUGGCGAAGGCAGCCUCCUGGGAUAACACUGACGCUCAUGCACGAAAGCGUGGGGAGCAAACAGG
rnacentral:rRNA from 1 species